UAGUGGCUCAAUACAAAUAAUAUCUGUAAAAAUGCAGAAGUGUAUUAAAGCCUCAAACGCUUUGUAUGAAUUGGCAACAAAUACAAAGAAGUCGACAUUGUAAUUUGUGACAUUAAAUACCAUAACGAACGAUAAUAAUGCUCGAAUUGUGAUAGUAAUAUUAAUAUUUUUUUAAUCUUUGAGGUGAAAUUAUAGACAUAUAAAACAAUAAAAAAAUGAACACAAAUCUACUGAGUAGACUUAAAUCUAAAGUUCGUGUAUAUACAUAUUAUCACCCCAUUUACACGAUGUCUCCACUGGAAGGGAAACACUGGAAAUUCUCUUUUCAUGUCUCAUUCGCGGGCACACGGGCAGAAAUGUUUUCGGCGACAUUUUGACAUUUAAUACUUUAGCAUCGUCUGAUUCGGAUGUAUUCUAGCACGCGCUUACAUGUAAAGCAGAGAGCGUUCGACAA